rnacentral:misc_RNA from 1 species
AACGCACGAGACCUGCGGACCUGCGGAGGGAUCAUUAGUGGACGCCCUCACGGGCUUAUAACUAUUCCAAACCUCUGUGAACCGUGCCCUUCGGGGCUAUUUUACAAACAUGGUGUAAUGAACGUCAUAUAUCAUAACAAAACAAAACUUUUAACAAUGGAUCUCU